rnacentral:rRNA from 1 species
AGCGAAAGCGAGUCUGAACAGGGCGAAAAGUACGUCGUCGUCGACCCGAAACCAGGUGAUCUACCCAUGUCCAGGGUGAAGGCCGGGUAACACCGGCUGGAGGCCCGAACCCACGCACGUUGAAAAGUGCGGGGAUGAGGUGUGGGUAGGGGUGAAAUGCCAAUCGAACUUGGAGAUAGCUGGUUCUCCCCGAAAUAGCUUUAGGGCUAGCCUCGGGAUGGAGAGUGUUGGAGGUAGAGCACUGAUUGGGCUAGGGGCCCUCAUCGGGUUACCGAACCCAGUCAAACUCCGAAUGCCAACGACUUAUGCCCGGGAGUCAGACUGCGAGUGAUAAGAUCCGUGGUCGAGAGGGAAACAGCCCAGAUCGCCAGCUAAGGCCCCAAAGUGCACGUUCAGUGGAAAAGGAUGUGGAGUUGCAAAGACAACCAGGAUGUUGGCUUA